rnacentral:rRNA from 1 species
UACGGGGGGGGCAAGCGUUGUUCGGAAUUACUGGGCGUAAAGGGCUCGUAGGCGGCCAACUAAGUCAGACGUGAAAUCCCUCGGCUUAACCGGGGAACUGCGUCUGAUACUGGAUGGCUUGAGAUUGGGAGAGGGAUGCGGAAUUCCAGGUGUAGCGGUGAAAUGCGUAGAUAUCUGGAGGAACACCGGGGGGGAAGGCGGCAUCCUGGACCAACACUGACGCUGAGUGAGCGAAAGCCAGGGGAGCAAACGGG